GUGGGGAAUCUUGCGCAAUGGGCGAAAGCCUGACGCAGCAACGCCGCGUGCGGGAUGAAGGCCUUCGGGUUGUAAACCGCUUUCAGCAGGGACGAAAAUGACGGUACCUGCAGAAGAAGCUCCGGCUAACUACGUGCCAGCAGCCGCGGUAAUACGUAGGGAGCAAGCGUUGUCCGGAUUUAUUGGGCGUAAAGAGCUCGUAGGCGGUUUCGUAAGUCGAGUGUGAAAAAUCUGGGCUUAACCCAGUGGAGCACUCGAUACUGCGAUGACUUGAGUCUGGUAGAGGAGUGUGGAAUUCCUGGUGUAGCGGUGAAAUGCGCAGAUAUCAGGAGGAACACCAACGGCGAAGGCAGCACUCUGGGCCAGUACUGACGCUGAGGAGCGAAAGCGUGGGGAGCAAACAGGAUUAGAUACCCGGGUAGUCC
rnacentral:rRNA from 1 species